GAAAGCCCCUCGGCCCAAUCCAAUCGCCCGCACUCCACAACCCUCCCUUCCUCCUCGAUCUCUCUCCCUCAGCCACCACAAACCCUAGGUCCUCCCCUUCUACCCUACUCUCCACCGCGCCGCCUCCUCCUCCCCUUCACCAUUCCCUCCAGCGGCAGGCACAGGGAGACGACGACGGCGCUCGAUUUGAGCCGCCCCGCUCCCCUCCCUCUCCACUGCGCCUCGGCCUCGGCCGCCCCGUGCUCUGCCGGCGCCCGUCGGCCUCGAUCCGGCCUUGGCAGGAGGAGCUCGCCCUCGAGACAGGAGGAGGGGAGCAGGAGGAUACAGGAGCAUGGCCUUCUUCUCGCGCUGCAGCCACCGGCCUUGUCCUGCUCGAGGAGGAGCAGCAGGAGGGGCGCACCCAGCCACCAAGGUAGCCUUCGUCGAGGGCUUCUUACACCUGAACCUCGAUCUCCACGGUGCUGGCGUCCAGCAACUCAAGUUCAAGGGAAGGAGAGGAUGAUGACGCCCAGACAUGGAGAGGAACAACAGCAGCUCAAGUGCCUGCUUAUAAAGUGGUGAAGCUACAGGGAAGAGGGAGGAAGUCGGCGACAGGGUGAAGGAGCAGGCCGGCCCUCAUGGAGGCAGCGCUACCAGCCAGCUAGGGAGGCGGUCCGGCUCACCUCUGCUAUGCCAUGAGCGGCGGCGCUACCUCUGCCUCCAGUCUCACCUCCUCUGCCAACCAUUGGAAAAUUUAGGGGAGACCCAAGGCGAGCUUCCCCUCUGUUGCAUGCACUCCUGAUCUCUAAAGAUUUCUGUAGCCUAAAUGCCUAUGUACCAUAAUAAUAAUUCAAGCGGAUGGCCAAUGCACCUUGGUGUUUAGCAGUAUGAUGGUCGGUGAAAGUAUGUUAUAUAUAUAUAUUGCAAGGAUCAUAAGAUGCUUUUACACAUGAUUGUGUGAUGCUCAGAGACAUUUCGCACAGUAGAAACUUCUUGUGAAGCUUGAUUUUAUUCAGAGCCAUAUGAAUUUUUUUAUAGAAACAUGUGCAGAGUAAAAUGGACACAUCUUCUGGUACAUCUGAGGACAGUGUGAUUUAUUUUCAUAGAAUGUUGUCAUCUAUAUCUUGCUGAAGUACAGAACUAUUGCACCAACGACCACAAUGGGAUGGAUCAAGCAGCCAAGACUUAGAGUGUGGUCGGGCAGCGCCAUGGGGCAGAUCUGUGCGGCGCAAGGGGUGGCAGAUGCGAAACUGAAGCUUCCCUGAACUUCGGAGCAGUCAAUUGAGAAGAUGGACACGACGAGUGAGGAUUGGUGCUACCGCCCCUGGUAGGAGCCCAAUGUCCUAAUCGAACUACUGUCAUGGAGAGGGCAAUACGUGGAUUUGCUUCAGAUAUUGGAGACAACGCCAUUGUGCCGAAGCUCGGAACAAUCUUCAAUACAUUGAGUGAAGCAUACGAUUUUUACAAUCUGUAUUUAUGGGAGAAAGGAUUUGGCAUUCGAUAUGGUAAAAGCUGUCUGAAUGUUGAGAGGACGUGGAAAUCUAUUGUGGAUAAUACUGGUCUUGCCGGCGUUAGUGCCCUACUCUGAUAAGGCUGCUGCAGUCUGAACCAUUCAUUGUAUCACACGUAUGCGCAGACGAUACACUGACGAUCGCACAAGCACAUCAACGUGUACAGCAGGGAUUUGAUGAAGAAUUUGAGGCAGAACAAUGUGAACCUUGCUAAAGUGCACAACAUUAGGCAGUUUCCUUGGGUCGAUGGAGAAUGUGCCUUUCACAAAAAGAGCUUCAAGGAGCUUGUGUGGCAAAAUAAGCUGCGAGCAACCGGCUGAUGAUGUUAGUUAAACGAUGGAGGUGUUUGCGGAGCUUGGUUCAAAGGAUCCUCACUUCACAUAUCAUGUACAGGCCGAUAAGGAGGGAAGGAUAAACGCACUCGUGUGGGCAAAUGGGGACAGUAGGCUGGUGCAAAAAAGACUGUAGCUUAUUCUCAAAUUUUCUGUCUCUAAUACUGAAUUUGGUGUGUACCGAUAAAUCAUGUAGCGUGUGAGAUCCAUCAUGCAGUUUAACUGCUAAUCCCAAUUAUGUUAUGCAUGCCCUGAAGCUGAUGAAUUUGUGUUCUCCUAUACUGAAAUGUCAAAUUGAUUGUGUGUAUGAUUGGAUACUUCUGCAGAAAGUA